rnacentral:rRNA from 1 species
AACAGGAUUAGAUACCCUGGUAGUCCACGCCGUAAACGAUGUCGACUUGGAGGUUGUUCCCUUGAGGAGUGGCUUCCGGAGCUAACGCGUUAAGUCGACCGCCUGGGGAGUACGGCCGCAAGGUUAAAACUCAAAUGAAUUGACGGGGGCCCGCACAAGCGGUGGAGCAUGUGGUUUAAUUCGAUGCAACGCGAAGAACCUUACCUACUCUUGACAUCCAGAGAACUUAGCAGAGAUGCUUUGGUGCCUUCGGGAACUCUGAGACAGGUGCUGCAUGGCUGUUGUCAGCUCGUGUUGUGAAAUGUUGGGUUAAGUCCCGCAACGAGCGCAACCCUUAUCCUUUGUUGCCAGCGGUUCGGCCGGGAACUCAAAGGAGACUGCCAGUGAUAAACUGGAGGAAGGUGGGGAUGACGUCAAGUCAUCAUGGCCCUUACGAGUAGGGCUACACACGUGCUACAAUGGCGCAUACAAAGAGAAGCGACCUCGCGAGAGCAAGCGGACCUCAUAAAGUGCGUCGUAGUCCGGAUCGGAGUCUGCAACUCGACUCCGUGAAGUCGGAAUCGCUAGUAAUCGUAGAUCAGAAUGCUACGGUGAAUACGUUCCCGGGCCUUGUACACACCGCCCGUCACACCAUGGGAGUGGGUUGCAAAAGAAGUAGGUAGCUUAACCUUCGGGAGGGCGCUUACCACUUUGUGAUUCAUGACUGGGGUGAAGUCGUAACAAGGUAACC